AUUUAAAUAGUUUAAUUAAAAUAUUGAUUUGUGGAAUCAAAGUUAUAUAAAUAUAUUUUAAAUA
rnacentral:tRNA from 1 species